rnacentral:tRNA from 5 species
GGUAAAAUGGCUGAGUAGGCAUUAGACUGUAAAUCUAAAGACGAGGGUGUGAGUCCCUCUUUUACCA